UACGUAGGGUGCGAGCGUUAAUCGGAAUUACUGGGCGUAAAGCGUGCGCAGGCGGUUUUGUAAGCCAGAUGUGAAAUCCCCGGGCUUAACCUGGGAAUGGCAUUUGGGACUGCAAGGCUUGAGUGCGGCAGAGGAGACUGGAAUUCCUGGUGUAGCAGUGAAAUGCGUAGAUAUCGGGAGGAACACCAGUGGCGAAGGCGGCAUCCUGGCCAUGUCCUGACGCUCAGGGGCGAAAGCGUGGGGAGCAAACCGG
rnacentral:rRNA from 1 species